rnacentral:misc_RNA from 1 species
AACGAGGCCGACCUGCGGCUGAGUUACCUGCGGAAGGAUCAUUAUUAGAGUGUUUACCCCCUUCUUUUUUUUAGUUGGUGGGUUACCUCCCCGUCCUUUGCGUAUCCCUUUAGUGGGGGCCUUUUAUAACUUUUGCUUCGACGUUGGUUUAAAAACCCGUCGAAACACCCUCAAAAAUCUUUUUAAAAUUGUUCAGUCCGAGUAAAUUUUUAAAUAAGAAAAAAAAACUUUUAACAACGG